rnacentral:misc_RNA from 1 species
CCAGCACUCAUGCACUAAAUGCAAAUAGCAAAAUUCAGAUACACAUUUCAAUAGUUUGCAACCCAAAACACAACUACAAGCAGUGAUUUGCACAAAGCUCUGUCAUUGCUUUUAUAAUUUCUGCCUUCCCUCCAAAAUGCGGUUUAUUAAGUUUUUACCAAAAGUGAAUCAGAAAACAUAAUAAAAUUGAUAACGCAUGUAAACCACAAAAAAGGGUAAAAAAAAAGGAAAUUGACCAGCAGAACAUACAGGAAAUGAUUAAAAAAAAAGGGCAAUCAUUUGCUGAUGAGAACUUGAAAUAUGGGGGGAAAACCAUUUCUACAAGGAGGAUUUCAGUCUUAUCAUUCGUGACCUUAACCAUUGUUGUUUGCCUGCAGUUGAACUUCAAGAUAUCUCCUCGGUUAUAUGCAUAUUACUUGGUUGAAGUGUUCUAUUUCUUGUAUCAAGCUUGACCCACACAUUUUACUAACAUUCACAUGGAAGAGUUAGGCAUGCAUUUGACAAACUGGCAGCAUCAUUUUGCAUUGUUUUCUACUCUCAUGUCCGCUCCAUGAACCACUCUAGAUCCAAAAGGGUAAAUUGUUUUUAAGAGUAUAUUAGUCAUUGGAGAUUUCAGAAUACUUUGUGAAGAACCCUGACUGGAGCCUACAAAAAUAGAGAGAUAACCCAAUCAAAGAUCAACGGAAGAACAAAAAAGUAAGGCAUGCUAGGCCUGAUCAUUGAUUCCAUGCUAAACAUCUUUAAUUAAAUAUCUUGGUUUACAAAAUAAUUGCAAAGAAAAUAUACUGAAUUCCACUGCAAACUUAAAUGCAAGGUUUUCAGAUCUUCUCACCUUGAUCAAACUCACAUGGAAAGCCACUAGAUCUAUAUAGGAACGUAUCUUUUGUGACAGGACUUCACUAAAAAUUCUGACUGCAGAGGAACAUGUUGCAAGUCAGUUUAUAGAAAGUUAAAAAGUAUUUGUUUUAAAAAGAGAACUCAAUAAAUUAUGAAUAUGAAAUAUGAUAAGGGUUUUAUUAAAAAUAUAACACCUAAGUUUCUAUGCUUUUUGUAUUUUCAGUGAUGUAAGAAGGUAUUUCCCAAGAUAGAAAUAUUUAAUUUAAUUUAAUUAAGCAGUUAAACCAACUACAUAAACUAAAGAAUAUUGUUUAGGAUGAAUUCACGAUAUGUAACCUUCAUAAACACUCACCUUGGAUAAAGAAUGAUCUUCAUCUAAAUCCAAACCUCUUCAACCAGCAAUAUUGAACCCCGUCAAACAAGACUUUCAUAUCAGAAACAGAAGAAAUAAAUAAAUAAAUAUAUGAUUUUGUUGACUCUUAAUAUUCCGU